CCUCAUCAGAGUUGGGAGGCAGUGCCAGCUCUUAAGGAAGAUGCUGUGAUGUGACUGUCACCUUGAUAGAAUCUUCAUUCAUCCAGAAGACCAGGGUUCCAGACUGA